AAUCACCAUUAUAUUAAAAACAAAAAAAACAAAUUAUUCACAUCAAUAAAUACAGUAUAUACAAAAUAGUUGAAGUUAAUACAUUAUUGUCUUGUUAUGUUCA